rnacentral:rRNA from 1 species
GUGCCAGCAGCCGCGGUAAUACGUAGGGUGCGAGCGUUGUCCGGAAUUACUGGGCGUAAAGAGCUCGUAGGUGGUUUGUCGCGUCGUUUGUGUAAGCCCGCAGCUUAACUGCGGGACUGCAGGCGAUACGGGCAUAACUUGAGUGCUGUAGGGGAGACUGGAAUUCCUGGUGUAGCGGUGGAAUGCGCAGAUAUCAGGAGGAACACCGAUGGCGAAGGCAGGUCUCUGGGCAGUAACUGACGCUGAGGAGCGAAAGCAUGGGUAGCGAACAGGAUUAGAUACCCUGGUAGUCCAUGCCGUAAACGGUGGGCGCUAGGUGUGAGGGUCUUUUCACGACUUUCGUGCCGUAGCUAACGCAUUAAGCGCCCCGCCUGGGGAGUACGGCCGCAAGGCUAAAACUCAAAGGAAUUGACGGGGGCCCGCACAAGCGGCGGAGCAUGUGGAUUAAUUCGAUGCAACGCGAAGAACCUUACCUGGGCUUGACAUACACCGGAUCGGGCUAGAGAUAGUCUUUCCCUUUGUGGCUGGUGUACAGGUGGUGCAUGGUUGUCGUCAGCUCGUGUCGUGAGAUGUUGGGUUAAGUCCCGCAACGAGCGCAACCCUUGUCUUAUGUUGCCAGCAUUUGGUUGGGGACUCAUGAGAGACUGCCGGGGUCAACUCGGAGGAAGGUGGGGAUGACGUCAAAUCAUCAUGCCCCUUAUGUCCAGGGCUUCACACAUGCUACAAUGGUCGGUACAACGCGCAGCGACACUGUGAGGUGGAGCGAAUCGCUGAAAGCCGGCCUUAGUUCGGAUUGGGGUCUGCAACUCGACCCCAUGAAGUCGGAGUCGCUAGUAAUCGCAGAUCAGCAAUGCUGCGGUGAAUACGUUCCCGGGCCUUGUACACACCGCCCGUCACGUCAUGAAAGUUGGUAACACCCGAAGCCGGUGGCCCAAACUUGUUAGGGAGCCGUCGAAGGUGGGAUCGGCGAUUGGGACGAAGUCGUAACAAGGUA